rnacentral:tRNA from 1 species
AUCCUUUUAGUAUUAAUAAGUACAGCUGACUUCCAAUCAGCCAGUCUUGGUAUACCCCAAGGAAGGAUA